GGAAGCAGGAAAUCGCUGCACGUCAGCAGGUGAAAAGAAAAGAGAGGGAGGAAGUUAAGUUGGACAUGUGUGUGUGUGUCACAGAGAUCACACAGCUGAGGCAUGUGGAGGUGUACAGCACAUAGGUGUUUUGACUGACAGCUUCUAGCUGUAAUCACGUGUAUGAUUGUUUCCACAUGUGAAACGGAUGUAAAAAUGAUUGGAUGAAAAAUCCCCCCGUGGCCGGCAGUCUGAAUAAAGGCUGUGAAGUCGUGUCAACAUGGUUUCAGUUAUCCUGCAGGAAAGGAAGCACGUUUUCUUUCUGGCUGCUUCUCUGUGGUCUGACCAGAAACUAACUCAUCCUUAUUCUAGAAAGUGAACCACAACAUGUGGCAACAGAGCCCACAAACAUGAGCUCAUUCCUCUUGAGGGAAACUAGCAACUGAAAAAAACAGAGAUAGAAAGAGAGAAAGUCCCAGUGUUCCUCUCCACAUCCAUUUGUCUUUGGACUACAUUCCUGCUCCUCUUCCUCAAAUGAAAUGGUUAUCCCUGCAAACAAUGAGAAGACUGAGCUGCAGGAGCAUCUGCAGCAUGUGAAGUGGGACAUGAAACAAAAAUUGGCUCACAAGGUUGAGGUCAACUUCAGCAUCAGCACAUUCUUUGAGCCAAGGCGUUGGAGAGAAAGCAGGCGCGAACUGAAAGUGGCCCAAGUCUCUUCCUAACAUGCUUUUAUUUCCCACAUACUUCGUGAUCAGCAGGCCUCAGUAUGUUAUCAGGUAAUACUGAGACAAACAGCUGCUUACGUGCUGAAAUGUGGAUGUAUUAUUUGAGAAAAGCAUUACACAUGAAUCAGAAGAACAAUACAUUUUGACCAAUAGGCUAACAAUUAAAGUAAACUCAUCAGUAUUAAAAAUACAGCUGGAAAGGUGAAAUGUUCUUACUUUAAGAGCAAGUGCAGGCAGAUAUGUUGCAAAAUGUAUUUACUAUCAUAAUUAAAUACAAAAAGAAAGAAUGUGCAGAAAAAAUCUGAACUCUAAACUCACACCUAUGAUAUUAAUUUAAAAAUCAUAGUUGACCUUUUCGAGUUAUUGUAACAAAAAAAGGAAAAAAAGUCUUUUCUGUGGCUAAGUCCUCAAUUUUCCUUUAUUCCUUGUAAUGUUGUCAGUCUCCAUAUGAGUCACGUUGACCACGUGCUGUGUGCUUCAUGCUUUGCUCUGGAAUGUCAGGUUUCAAAUUGCAUGUACCCGAUAUUGCCUUGCCAUGCCAUGCCAGAGAUAUAAGAUUGUGUGUAACUGUAAAAUCAAAUGACUAUUAUUUAUUUGCAAUAAAAUAACAUAAAACACA